CCAUGUCUUUUGCGCACUUCUUGUUUCCUGGGCGGGUUCGCCCGCCACCAGGACCCAACCAUAAACCUUUUUGUAAUUGCAAUCAGCGUCAGUAAACAAUGUAAUUAUUACAACUUUCAACAACGGAUCUCUUGGCUCUCGCAUCGAUGAAGAACGCAGCGAAAUGCGAUAAGUAAUGUGAAUUGCAGAAUUCAGUGAAUCAUCGAAUCUUUGAACGCACCUUGCGCCUUUUGGUAUUCCGAAAGGCAUGCCUGUUUGAGUGUCAUGAAAUAUCAACCCCUCCUGGUUUCUGAUCAGUGUUGGGCUUGGACUUGGGUGUCUGCCAGCUCGCUGGCUCGCCUUAAAAGAGUUAGUGGUAAUAACAUCCACGGCUAAGACGUAAUAAGUUUCGUCUGGUCAAGGUGUGACGACUGCUCAUAACCCGACCGCAAGGUCAUCAUUUUAUGCUCUGACCUCAAAUCAGGUAGGACUACCCGCUGAACUUAAGCAUAUCAAUAAGCGGAGGAAUCUUGCUGAAAAACUCGAGCCAUCCGGAAGAUCUGGCGGCCGCUCUCCCUAUAGUGAGUCGUAUUACGCCGGAUGGAUAUGGUGUUCAGGCACAAGUGUUAAAGCAGUUGAUUUUAUUCACUAUGAUGAAAAAAACAAUGAAUGGAACCUGCUCCAAGUUAAAAAUAGAGAUAAUACCGAAAACUCAUCGAGUA
rnacentral:rRNA from 1 species